AAGAAAAGAAAAAAAUAGGUAAGUUGGACAUGAUCAAAAUUUUGUGCUUCAAAGAACACUAUCUACAGCAAAAACGUAGCCUGUGGAGUGGGAGAUACAAUCAUGUACUGGAUAAGGAAUUGAUACCUAGAAUAUAUAAAGAACUCCUUCAACUCAACAGACACUAACAAUCCAAUUCAAAAAUGGAAAAAGGACCUGUAUAGACAUUUCUCUAAAGAAAAUAUACAAAUGGCCAUAAACACAUGAAACAAUGCUCAACAUCACUAGUUAUCAGGGAAAUGCAAACCCAAACCACUUCAUACCCAUUAGGAUGGCUAUUAUUGUAAAAAAACAAACAGAAAAUAACAUCUAGUGUUGGCAAAGAUGCAGAGAAAUUGGAACUCUUGUACAUUCUGGGUGGGAACGUAAAAUAGUACACAGCCACUGUGGAAAACUAUGGCAAUUCCUCAAAAAAAGCAAGCUUAGAAUUAGCAUAUGAUCCAGCAGUUACACUUCUGUAAGUCAAUGAAGUUGACUUACAUUAAAGACUAAAGAAAAAAAGCUAAAGGGAAAGGAAGUUAAAGCAGGGAUUCAAACAAAUAUUUGUAUACCUAUGUUUAUAGCAGCUGUAUUCACAACAGCCAAAAGGUGGAAGUAAGCAAGUGUCCACUGCCUAUCAGAUAGAGUGAAGUCAGAAAGGGAAAAACAAGUAUCAUAUAUUAAUGCAUAUUUAUGGACUCUAGAAAGAUGGUACUGAUGAACCUAUCACAGCUUCUGUAUCCAUUCAUCUGUCAAACCGAAUUUUUCUUAUUUAUCACUCGUUCACCAGCACCUAGCAUAGUACUUGCAUUCUGAUCAGUAAAUAUUCAUUGAAAGAAAGGCAGGAAGGAUCAUACAAAAUCUUUCCUGGGCACCCAGACUCACACUGAUCCUUCCUUUGGUUCUUGACUUUGUGGAGUAAGUGAGAUAGAAUAAAUAAUUGCCACAAAGGACACAAGUAGGAUGUUGUACUACAAAAUGAUGGCCAGAGUCAAGAGCAUGCCAGUACAGAAAACCAGUGUGUAAUUCCUGAGGCAGGAAGAGUGUGGCACAUCGGAGGUACUGGAAUUAGAGUGGUUUGACUGGAGCAUAGUGAGUGCGAGGAGAUGGGCAUGAGGUGAAACCAGAGAAUGCCUGGGGCCUGGUAGGCACUGUUAAAGAUCUUGGAUUUUAUAUGAAUUAUAUUGGAAAGCCAUUGGAGGGUUUUAAGGAAGGAACUGAUGUAUAUGAUUUAGACACUUUUUAAGAUGACUCAGGCUACUCUGUGGAGAACAGAUUGAAGGAGAGCAAGAGUGGAAGUAGCAGUUAAGAACUGAAUGUAAUGGACCAUGUGAAAGAUGGUGACUUCAUCUGGAGGGAUGGAGAGAAGUAGAUAGAUUUAAGAUAUUUCUUGGCAAUGGACAUAAAAGGAUUUGCUUAUGGUUUUACGUGAGGCGUAAAGGAUGAAAGAUGACUCCUGUGUGUCUGACAUGAUAACUGGAUGGAUGGACAUAUAUCAUUUACUGUGGUGGGGAAUAGGGUAUGGAGAUUAGAUUUGGGGGAAAUGCAGAAGUUUAGGACUUAAGUUUGAGGUGCCAGCAAGACACAAGGCAGUGUUGAAGGUGCCAGGUGACUGUCUAGAACUCCUAUGGAUAGGCUGAGAGGGAGAUGGAAAUUCUAGACUUAAAAUUACACAGAUGGUAUUUAGUGACUUGUGACUGGAUGGAUUAGAAGAGUGAGCAGAAGGCCCAGGGCCGAGCCCCGUGCAUGUUUGUGUACUGAUGGCAAUAAUCUAAAAGAAGGGGAGAGGUUAAUAAUGCAGGAAGGGGGUCAGAGGCAUGAUCAUAAGACCAAUAACUGCAUUCUGUAUGGCCCUUGUUUUGUUGUUUAGGGGCUUCCCUGGUGG
ensembl:lncRNA